CCCUGCUAUGCCACCCUUGACGCAGCUUGAUUUGCCACAGGCUUCAGGGUGUAAAUGACUUGAAGCAGCCUGAACUGUGAGCAUUGCCAAAGCCUACAUGUGUGAACCCAGAUACGGUCCUUGGGAUUUGGGAUUUGGGAUUUUUCAAAGAUAUUAUUUAUUGUUCAUCACUUACCAGAACCUCCAGUGAUCCGAAAAGCAAGCAUGUGAUGAAUCUGUUCAAGUAAGUAUCUGAGAUGAAGCCUCCAACGAGGGAAAGCAAGUAGGUUGAACCCAUAAAGUUUGUGAGGGUGUUGGCUGAGCUGGCCAGAUCAAAGUGCAUCACUCCAUAAAAGUAUAGGACUAUGCUCACCAUGUUUGCCACAAAACCCAUGUUGUCCAAUGCUGACAAGA